rnacentral:rRNA from 1 species
GGAUGCGAGCAUACCAGCACUAAAGCACCGGAUCCCAUCAGAACUCCGAAGUUAAGCGUGCUUGGGCGAGAGUAGUACUAGUGGGAAGUCCUCGUGUUGCAUUCCC